rnacentral:rRNA from 1 species
CGCAUUCGCCUUUAUAUUUCAAGAGCUUAUGAACGCGUAGGAAGUUUUUACUUUCAUACGCGUUUUUCUUUGAACACAUGAAGGUGUCCUUUAAAAAUAGUAGAAGAGG